UGUAUUACAAGAACGGAUUUCAAAAUUAUUUUUGUCUUCAGGACCAUCUUCAUUGCUGAUCUUGUGGAUGGCAGAUUGGAAACAAGCAAAACCCUGACAGUUCGAUUCUCAGAAUUUGAGGCUAACGUCAUGGGAAUCACAAGUAAGGUAAAUGAUGCCCUAGAACAAGAGGACUCGUUCAUCCUUACCGAUGGCCAGGGAAACCAGAUCUUGGACACAGAGGGAACCAGAGGAUCUGUGUUUUGGAAGCAAAAUGCAAGGAAGGUUUGUGCUGUGAAGGAAAGAGAUUUGCAGCAGUUACAAGGAAGCAAAAAGAGGAGACUGAGAUGAUAAUGGCCUGGAUACAGUGUUUGAUACAAUUGAAGAGGUGGUCCUGGCAGCAGAGGGUCUUCGGGAG